CGCGCGCCUCUAGCGGCAUAAUUUAGAAGUUGUCCAAGAACGACAUUAUGUUUUCGAGUUGAGGUUAAUAACGUAAAUAAUCAAAUGGAUCACGAUUACAUAAAGAAACCUGUUUUAAAAAAAAGCAGAAACACAAAAUAUUGUUGCGUUCCUCAAUGUAAUACUUACGGAGGUUCGGGAAUAAGUUUUCAUUUAUUUCCAAAAGACAUAAUUAUGAAAAAUAAAUGGAAGACUGCUCUAAGAAUAGGCAAGCCGAUUUCAACAGCAAUGAGAGUUUGUUCUCAUCAUUUUCAAGCUUCAAACUAUUUUCCAAACAAUUCUAAAAGACAGAAGUUGUUUCCUAAUGUCGUACCUUCUCAGAAUAUUCCUAAAAUAAGCCCAUUAGUUAAAAAAAUUAAAUUAAUUGCUCGAGAAAAUAGGGCUUAUAUCAGGCACAGGAAAAUAGUUGUUUCAAAGAAAGAUCUAGGACUAAUUAAUAAGGAUGAAACAAUUGAAGUUGAGGAUGGCUUUGAGGACAAUAAUAUAACUGAUAAAAACAGUCAUCAUCAUGUCAUGACUUCAUCGACACAAGUCAAUUUGGUGGAUUACAGAACUUAUCGUCCUCGAGAUGGUUGGAGUAUAGCCGACCAUCUUUGUGACAAAGAACCUUUGGAAAAGUGUACUCAAAUAAAUUUUCUUCCUAUAUGGAAAGAGGAAAGAUCAGCUGUUAAGCAAUUAAGCGUCUCAUUUACACAGCAGUGAUAUCAUCGGUCUAAUUAUCAGAACUUGUAACUCUUUUUACAUAAAUUUUACAGUGGCAAGGAAAAUAUGAUAAUUUUGGUUACUUUUACUAAUAAUUAAUUCAUGAGUGUUAAUUAAAUUUAGGAUAAAAGUAUUAAGUGAAUUAAAUUUCAGACCAGUUUAGAAAAAAAACUUAUUGAAUUAAUAUAAAAAUGGAGAUACGAACUUUUCUAUGAAGCUGAUAUGCAGUUACAUAGUUAUAAACAGGCUUAUGGCUUUUAAGAUAGUUUUUAGCUUAAUGCAAUAAACAAAACUACACAAUUAUUAUAGAAAAAAAAAACAUUUAUUGUUUCAAUUCAAAAUAAAAUCAAAAUUUAAAACUUUUUCACUUGCAAUCCAACCACUUUUAUUAACAAAUUUAGAAUAUACUCUUAACACUUUCUCAGGAUAACAAUACUCUAAAUAUUUAAUCUAAUAAAAAAAUAACGAAACUAUUAUUCCGCAAAGCACAUCACAGCAAUCCGUCUUAUAUUCUACAAUAAUAAAAUAAUGUUACCUAUGAACAAAUCUAUGAUAAAACUUGUACUCCUACCUAUAAUGGCACAAAUCACUCUCAAGUUUAAUAUUAAACUGUCAAACACCGCAUGGUCACCGGUGACCGCAACCUAUUGUUCUUUAAUUGUGUCUAUAAUAAUGGUACUCAACGAGUUAAAUUGAGUUAAGGAUACAGUUCUAAAAACUUUAAGUAAUCUAUUACAAAAAAAACACUAAUAGUAUGAAUUAAAGGAAAUUCAAUAAUUAGGAAUUAAUGAUGGGGUAAACUAUCAUAAAACUGAUGAUAAUCUUUUUCCAAAAUAUGUUUCAGGGCUUGGAAGAUCUAGGUAUUUUCAUUUUAUAUUUUGAGCCUUGCUGAAUUCAACUGAGGAAUGUCAUCCCAUGGAAUGAAAGAAAUUUUUUGAAUCUAAUAGGGAACUGUACCCCUGCUGUAUUUGAAUGUCGUAAUUUGUAAACAAUCUUACCAUCAUCAGGAUUAUACUUCAAAGCCCUUAGAUUUAUUACUUUUGGGUCACCUGUCUUCUUCCCAGGUCUAAUCGUUUAAUAAAAAAAUGAAAACUGCGUUUAAAAAAAC